CCCACGACAUGUCACGAAUACGCCGUGUGAUACGAAAGUGUCUCAUAAAUUCACCUUGAGUACAAUAAUAGAGAUAUGGCGUUCGGAUUUUUACUAGUAACAGCUAUAAUAGCUUUCGGAACAUAUUUUGCGACAAAAUAUUUUAUGAAUCGUCCAGAAAUUGAUAUGGAAAUCGAAACAGAAGCUGCUACCGAAACGCAUACGAAUAAAUAUUAUUUUUAACUUCACACUCUCUUCAGGAUAAUAGAGCACUUUUGGUAGGAGCCAUCAUGGUGUCCAUAUAUCUUGGAGGCAAAUAUCUAUUAGAAAUGGACCGUAUGAACAAUGACGUGCCUAUGGCGAAUUUAACUGGUCUAGGUUGAGAAACACGUUGUUUUAAUGUUACGUUAAUUUAAAUUUGUUAAAUUAGUUAAUUUUAAUUUAUUAUUAAUUUUAGGCGAAGAAAGGAUAGAACGAUUGUUGUCUGGAAAAUUGUAUUGAUGUGAUUUUUUAAAU